rnacentral:rRNA from 1 species
AAACCGUUCAGGGGUAAACCUGAGAAACCCAAAAGAUCGAAUGGGGAGAUUCAUCGUCGACGGCGUUGGCUACCGUUUGUGCGCGAUGCUCCGGGUGGGACCCUGCGGUUCCAUUAGCGAGGGCACGCCACCUUCGGAUCGAACUUUCCUGCGUCGUAGUCGUGCACUUCUCCCCUAGUAGGACGUCGCGACCCGUUGUGUGUCGGUCUACGGCCCGAGCGGGAGACUGUCGCGUCGCUUCGGCGCACGCGGCAGACCCUCGGUCGCCCGGCCGGCUGCACGACGGUACACCAACGGUAUCGGGCCGCAGCCAAUCCAUUCUCGAAUGUGUGUGCGUCCAUCCCGCCGCAAGCUCGGUCAGUUCUUACCCGGAGGUACGGACCCUGUGCCGUCCCCGGGCCUGGCCAGCUGUUAGCAGGCGGUGUCCUCGGACCGGCCAAACCUCGGAUUACCGGUCGGCGACGCUAUUGCUUUGGGUACUCUCAGGACCCGUCUUGAAACACGGACCAAGGAGUCUAACAUGUGCGCGAGUCAUUGGGAUGCACAAACCUAAAGGCGAAAUGAAAGUGAAAGUCGGCCUUCGCGCCGAUCGAGGGAGGAUGGGCCGCGUAACCAUGCGGCCCCGCACUCCCGGGGCGUCUCGUUCUCACUGCGAGAAGAGGCGCACCUAGAGCGUACACGUUGGGACCCGAAAGAUGGUGAACUAUGCCUGGUCAGGACAAAGUCAGGGGAAACCCUGAUGGAGGUCCGUAACGAUUCUGACGUGCAAAUCGAUCGUCGGAACUGGGUAUAGGGGCGAAAGACUAAUCGAA